CCAAAACACACACACACACACACACACACACACGCGCGUAACCUAGAGUCAUAGUUAAGCGCAUAAACCUGGAAAGAAAGAGAGAGGACCUUCAAUUCACCACUUCGAGCAGAAGGAAAUCCUUCAGUUCGAAGUCUGAGGUUAAAAGAUAAUUAUUUGUGUGUAAUCAACUGACGCAGAUUGAAACCAGCAUUGAUCUCCAUUCAGUAAAAUGGCUUUGCAACUUAUAGUAACCAAUUUUAUACGUGCUUUCUUGGCGCCCUUUGAAGAAAAUUCAGACAAGAAUGAUUGUUUUGAGGAGGAUUGCAUUAGUCAGCUGCCAGAUGAAAUUCUUGCUUCAGUUUUAUCAUAGUUGACAGUAAAAGAUGCUGUUAAAACAAGAUUGUUGUCAAGAAAAUGGAGGCAUCUGUAUUUAUCGUAUCUCCAUGCAUCAAGGUCGGAGCUCAACUUUGACUGUAAAUCGGCUGGUUUAGAUUACACUAAAUCUCAUAAAUGUCAACAAUAUACAUGUGCAUUUGUGCAAUGGGUAAAUAAGUUCUUAAACCAGUAUAAAGGUCCGAACAUCAGUUCCUUUAGAGUGGCUUUUUGCCUUGGCCCGAAGUUUGCUUAUGAUAUCGAUCGAUGGAUCACUUUUGCAGUUAAGCUGGGUGUUGAGCAGCUGAAGAUUAUCUGUUCAUGCUAUGGUAUCUCAUACAGAAAACAGCAUGAGUUAUAUGCUUUUUCUUUCCAGCAUUUGUCUGAUGCAUCCGAGUUGAAGCAUCUGGAAUUAAAUUCUUGUAUACUGAAACAGGAUUUUAAUGGCCAAUUACAUUCCUUGAAGUUCAUUGAUUUAAUAUUCACCCCACUAGAUCAAAGUAUACUGCUAUUUAUUUUGUCAAUGUGUUGUAAUCUUGAAAGACUGAGAUUGGCUUGGUGUUUGUGUCCUGCUGUUUUGAGCUUUUGUGGUCCAUUCCUGCAGUUGAAGAUGUUGACUGUAUCUUUUUGUAAAGGAUUGGAGGAGAUUGAGCUCUCUGCUACAAAUCUCACCACUCUUGAGGUUUUCGGUGAUCGAACAAAUUUUAACAUCGUGUUCUCUGAUGUUCCCAAUCUGCAAAAUGUUCUUUGUCAAAAGCCAUGCACAAGUAGCUUUCCAGAUGAUUUAUUCAAGCAAUUUGAGAAUGCUGCUCCUCAACUUCAAUCUCUAAUACUGUCCAGUACUACAAGAUUGCUGAAGUAUAUACCUAGUAGCAUAGCAACAUUUGGCAAUUUGAAGCAGCUGGAAUUCAUUUUCUAUUCCGGCAAUGAACCUUAUAAUAUCUGGAAGAUUAUUCCUGUUUUAAUUGCCUGCCCUCUUCUUCAGAUAUUUAACUUGACGAUAAGACUGGGUAUACAUUUAUAUGAUGCGGUUAAUAUUGAAGAAAGAACAAUGAAAGAAAUCCAGAAAUACCAUUAUUCUCGCUUGAAAGAAGUUGAAAUUGGUGGAUUUCAAGGCACUGAAACUCAACUUGCAUUGGCGUUAUAUUUUCUGAAAAAUGCAGUUGAGCUCGAACGGAUGGUUAUUAGUUCUUGUUUCUGGGAGUAUCUUACAUCUAGCAAGCGUACAUAUCAUUAAUUGGUGACUUGGACUGAUGGGAUGCAUAAAAACAUCAUUGAACAAUUGCAAGGAAAGGCAACAUCCAAAACUGCACGACUGAUUAUUUAUAAAGGUCUGCCACCGCAGGGCAAGGUGCAGGACUGAUUGUUUAUGAAGUCAUUAUUUUUAUUUCUUUCUUUAAAGAUUCAAGCUUCAUCAUGAAUUUUUUUUUUCUGUUGAUACAUAAAAAAACAAAUGGGGGAUAAUUAUUAAUAUAUCCUCUUAACGCGUUGGACGUAUGAUGUGUUAAGACUUCUGCCACUUAUUCCUAAGGGUUGUUAUGUUACUUAAAAUUUCAUCUGAAAGAAAUGGGUUUAAUGCCAAUUGUAGCAUAUUUUUUAUUGGUUUCA